CAUGUACUUCCUUCGUUCUAAAAUUCUUAUCUUAAAUUUGUGUAUAUAUGAAUGUAUCUAGUCACGUUUUAGUAUUUUGAUACAUCUAUUUCUAGACAAAUCUAAGACAAAAAUUUAGGACGAAAGGAGUAGCAC
rnacentral:pre_miRNA from 1 species